CAGUAGCCGCGGUAAAACGGAGGGCGCGAGCGUUACCCGGAUUUACUGGGCGUAAAGGGCGUGUAGGCGGCCUGGGGCGUCCCAUGUGAAAGGCCACGGUCCAACCGUGGAGGAGCGUGGGAUACGCUCAGGCUAGAGGGUGGGAGAGGGUGGUGGAAUUCCCGGAGUAGCGGUGAAAUGCGCAGAUACCGGGAGGAACGCCGAUGGCGAAGGCAGCCACCUGGUCCACUUCUGACGCUGAGGCGCGAAAGCGUGGGGAGCAAACCGGAUUAGAUACCCCCGUAGUCCCUGUCUCUUAUAC
rnacentral:rRNA from 1 species